GAUGAACGCUGGCGGCGUGCCUAAUACAUGCAAGUCGAGCGAACGGACGAGAAGCUUGCUUCUCUGAUGUUAGCGGCGGACGGGUGAGUAACACGUGGAUAACCUACCUAUAAGACUGGGAUAACUUCAGGAAACCGGAGCUAAUACCGGAUAAUAUUUUGAACCGCAUGGUUCAAAAGUGAAAGACGGUCUUGCUGUCACUUAUAGAUGGAUCCGCGCUGCAUUAGCUAGUUGGUAAGGUAACGGCUUACCAAGGCAACGAUGCAUAGCCGACCUGAGAGGGUGAUCGGCCACACUGGAACUGAGACACGGUCCAGACUCCUACGGGAGGCAGCAGUAGGGAAUCUUCCGCAAUGGGCGAAAGCCUGACGGAGCAACGCCGCGUGAGUGAUGAAGGUCUUCGUAUCGUAAAACUCUGUUAUUAGGGAAGAACAUAUGUGUAAGUAACUGUGCACAUCUUGACGGUACCUAAUCAGAAAGCCACGGCUAACUACGUG
rnacentral:rRNA from 1 species